rfam:Emmonsia pasteuriana TAMH 9510 supercont1.43, whole genome shotgun sequence.
GGCGCGAUGGCGGAGUGGUUAACGCGAGAGACUAGAACCAACAUAUCACUCUAUCUCUUCCCUUCGGGGGCGUAGGUUCGAAUCCUGCUCGCGUCG